AGUGAGAGAGAAAAAAUUUACACUUUAGUACAGGGACCAACUGUCACUAUUAACUAGUUGCUUAUUAGCAUGCCUAUUAUUAACAUAUUGUCUGUUUAUUAG